UACAGAGGAUACAAACGUUGCUCGGAAUUAUUGGGCGUAAAGCGCGUAUAGGCGACUUAUUAAGUUGGUUGUGAAAACCCAUGGCUCAACCAUGGAAAAACAUCCAAAACUGGCAAGCUAGAGUCCCGACGAAAAUGGCGGAAUUCCCAGUGUAGAGGUGAAAUUCGUAGAUAUUGGGAGGAACACCGAUGGCGAAGGCGGCCAUCUGGGAGGGCACUGACGCUGAGACGCGAAAGCGUGGGGAGCAAACAGG
rnacentral:rRNA from 1 species